GGGUCAUGUCCCUAGCUACUAAAGUAGUCCUGGAUCAACAUGGCUAUGUUGUAAAGGAUGUGCCUAUUGUUUUCCUUUUUUUUUCUUUUUUCGGUAAAAGAGUGAGUAAGCUUAAUUCCAAAAUAAGAUUACAAUGUGUUAAUGCUCCAAGUAUCUAAAACCAACCAUUACAAAUAGGCCAUACAUAUACAGCUAGAAUCAAGAUAGGACACAUCUGUAAUUGAAAAGCAUACGGCACCCCACAUGAAGCGAUGAAAGUCCAACAAAAGGGGUAUCGACAUCAACAUCAUGAGCACCCAACAAAGCCUCAUCCUUAGGGAUGGCUAC
rnacentral:lncRNA from 1 species